rnacentral:rRNA from 1 species
CAGCCGCCGCGGUAAUACGAAGGGGGCUAGCGUUGCUCGGAAUGACUGGGCGUAAAGGGCGCGCAGGCGGUUAUAUAAGACAGAUGUGAAAUCCCCGGGCUCAACCUGGGAACUGCAUUUGUGACUGUAUAGCUAGAGUACGGCAGAGGGGGAUGGAAUUCCGCGUGUAGCAGUGAAAUGCGUAGAUAUGCGGAGGAACACCGAUGGCGAAGGCAAUCCCCUGGACCAUUUCUGACGCUGAUGCACGAAAGCUAGGGGAGCAAACAGGAUUAGAUACCCCCGUAGUCCCUGUCUCUUAUAC